UACGUAGGGGGCAAGCGUUGUCCGGAAUUAUUGGGCGUAAAGCGUGCGCAGGCGGUUGUGCAAGACCGAUGUGAAAUCCCCGGGCUUAACCUGGGAAUGGCAUUGGUGACUGCACGGCUAGAGUGUGUCAGAGGGGGGUAGAAUUCCACGUGUAGCAGUGAAAUGCGUAGAGAUGUGGAGGAAUACCGAUGGCGAAGGCAGCCCCCUGGGAUAACACUGACGCUCAUGCACGAAAGCGUGGGGAGCAAACAGG
rnacentral:rRNA from 1 species